GAGUCCUCUGGGAUAUGAUACUUGGUCUUGUCAUUUUAUAUUACUUGUGCGACUUAGUACACUUGUCGAUCUGUCCCAAUAAGUUUUUGGCGCCGUUGUCGGGGACUCACGGUUUAAGCUAUUCUAUUUGUGUGAUCCUUGAUUAAUUUUGAGUUUAUUUUUAUUUUAUUUUCCUUUAUUUUAAUUUUUUAAUUUUUUAUUUUUUAUUUUUCUUUUUCAAUCUUUAAUUUUUAAUCUUUAUUUUUUUAAUUUGUGUUUUAUUCUUUUUAUUUUUAUUUUUAUACUAACAAUAUUUUCUAGAAGUUCUGUGCAGGACCUGAGACUAGCAAGAGGCCAAAAGGAGAUAGAUUAUCUAGAGAAAAUUUCA
rnacentral:lncRNA from 1 species